GAGAACCAAGAUAUCCAUUGUUAACAGUUGUUCGGUUUCGGCGUUCGACCGCAGGACUUCCCUCAGGAUCACCAUAGAUAGAGCAGGGGUGUGAUAAGGGGGCUUGCACCCAGUGACCCGGUCGUCGGCCGUGUGGGCCUCCAACGAUCGUGACUGCGUCAUCCUUACACAUGUUAGUGACACCUUCAGUUAGUGUGUUAGUGACACUUUCAGACACUAACUGCUUGGGGAUGCCAGGCCACUUACUGCACGCUCCUUGCAGACGUCCCUGAAUCGAAAACUGUUCGGCGAUGAUUUACCAGGGAUUGCUGCUUUUUCUAACGGACGUACGAGUACGACUGAAGGUUCACGUAACAAGGUUUCCGUAGGUGAACCUGCGGAAGGAUCAUUAACACGUAUCCAAACGUUAAAC
rnacentral:misc_RNA from 1 species